GAUUUUUGCUGAAAUUCUGACUCUGCCGCCGUGGGCACCGGUGUAGCCGCCGCUGGAGGAUUCUCCGCAAUUCAAAUAUGGCUUGCUUCAACCCUACUUUCGCAUGGAGAGAUCUCUCGGUACAUACGAUUAUCGUAAAUCCUAUAUGUCUCUAACCCAUUACACCGAAUGCAAGGAUUUCUUCCGGCUAAUUCGAGAGAGCAGGGUAGGGAUAUGAUAUUGUUUCCUACCCUUCUUACAUCAUGAAAUCGGGGUUGCUGGACCGUACUUUGCGACCGCUUGGCAAUGACGUUAUGCUGGCUAAUCUUAAUUUUCGAGAAACCUUAAGGGUAAAGAUGGACACUUUAGUUUCCAAAAUUAAUCUUGACACCAUGUGUCAUGGAGAACAGUAUUUGAAGGAUAGUUUUGUGAACAUUGUGUGGAACAUGUUACAUGGGUUGAGCGUUGUAACAUUUACUGUGAAGCAAAUCGAUCGUGAUUAUAACCAUGUUGGUGUUGUAAAGACUGUCCAAACAAUGGUAUCAGUAGCAACAAGUUAUGGAGAAAUCUAUGAGGUCAAGGAGUGGAGGUUUAAACCUUCCGGCUCCCAAAUGGAUUGGGAGUGAGAAGCACAACCUUCCGGGUCCCCAAUGUAACAUUUACUGUGAAGCAAAUGGAUCGUGAUUAUAACCAUGUUGGUGUUGUAAAGAGUCCAAGCAAUGGUAUCAAUAGCAAGAAGUCACGAUGAACCCCCCAUAAGGUCGAGGAGUGGAGGUUUAAACCUUCUGGCUCCCCAAUGGAUUGGGAGUGAGAAGCACAACUACAUUUUGUAUGCAAGUAUUUUGCAAGACUGUUUGAUCAUCUUGAAUUGUGGCUUACUAUCCGUAUUUUUUUGCCAGGAAUGUUUGAUCUUCAACUUAGUUGUGCUUCAAUUAAAAUGUUCUUCUUCUGUCUUGUGUUAAUUUCAGUGCGAAAAAAGCUUAGUACUACAAAACAUCAAGUAUUUUAUC